CAGCCCUGAAACUAGCCAAAACCUUCAAUCACAACAACACCAUAUAAAUAAACCCAAAUGCAAUAAGAACUUUACACCAAACCAUUUUUCCGCCCUAGUACGGGAGACAGAAAAGGACUAAUUGAGCAAUAGAGAAAGUACCGCAAGGGAAAGAUGAAAGAGUAAUGAAACAACCAACAAAGCAAUGAAAAGCAGAGAAAACCCUCGUACCUUUUGUAUCAUGAUUUAGCUAGUAAACACAGGCAAAGAGCCCUUUAGUCUGGAACCCCGAAACUAAGAGAGCUACUCCAAGACAGCCUAUUAAAGGGGCCAACCCGUCUCUGUGGCAAAAGAGUGGGAAGAUCUUUGAGUAGAGGUAAAAAGCCUACCGAGCUUAGUUAUAGCUGGUUGCCCGAGAAAUGGAUAGAAGUUCAGCCUUCAAGGUUCUCAUACCAAAACCCUAGACCCAGGACUAGAGAAACUAGAAGAGUUAUUCAAAGGAGGUACAGCCCCUUUGAUAAAGGACACAACCUUUUACAGGUGGAUAAAGAUCACUUUAAACAAGGAUGUACAUCAAGGUGGGCUUAAUAGCAGCCACCCUAGUAGAAAGCGUUAAAGCUCAAAUGUAAAAAAAUCUAAUUAUUACGAUAAUCAAACUUACUCCCCUAACCUUACCGGGCCUCUCCAUGCAACCAUGGAAAAGAUAAUGCUAAUAUGAGUAAUAAGAAAGACUAACCCUUUCUCCCACACACAAGUGUACAUCGGCCCGGACCACCCACCGAAACUCAACGGUCCCAAGAAUAGAGGGCAAUUAAAAAUAAUUAAAAAUACUAGAAAAAUUUUAAACAUUUUAAACCGUUACCCCUACACUGGAGUGUUACAAAGGAAAGACUAAAAGGAAGAGAAGGAACUCGGCAAAUCCUAGCCCCGCCUGUUUACCAAAAACAUCGCCUCUUGUAAUAUAAAUAUAAGAGGUCCCGCCUGCCCUGUGACUGUUUAAGUUUAACGGCCGCGGUAUUUUGACCGUGCAAAGGUAGCGCAACCACUUGUCUUUUAAAUAGAGACCUGUAUGAAUGGCAUCACGAGGGCUAAACUGUCUCCUUUUCCCAGUCAAUGAAAUUGAUCUCCCCGUGAAGAAGCGGGGAUAAGCUUAUAAGACGAGAAGACCCUGUGGAGCUUUAAACAAGUAGCGGGCCAUGUCAAACACAUUAAAUAAGUGAAACAAAAUGGAUACCUCUUACAGUUUUUGGUUGGGGCGACCGCGGGGUAACAGAAAACCCCCACGUGGAAUGGGGACACCUCCCCUACAACUACGAACAACCUCUCUAAUUAACGGAAUAUCCGACCAACAAUGAUCCGGUAAGCCGAUCAACGAACCGAGUUACCCCAGGGAUAACAGCGCAAUCCCCUUCUAGAGACCCUAUCGCCAAGGGGGUUUACGACCUCGAUGUUGGAUCAGGACAUCCUAAUGGUGCAGCCGCUAUUAAGGGUUCGUUUGUUCAACGAUUAAAGUCCUACGUGAUCUGAGUUCAGACCGGAGUAAUCCAGGUCAGUUUCUAUCUAUAAUAUGCUUUUUUCCAGUACGCAAGGACCGAAAAAAGGGGGCCAAUGCUAAAAGCACGCCUCCUCCUCACUAAGUGAUAACAACUCAACUUAAUAAGAGGACAUCCUUAUAUGCCUAAAAACAAGGCUU
rnacentral:rRNA from 1 species